rnacentral:rRNA from 1 species
UACGUAGGUGGCAAGCGUUGUCCGGAUUUACUGGGCGUAAAGGGAGCGUAGGUGGAUAUUUAAGUGGGAUGUGAAAUUCUCGGGCUUAACCUGAGAGCUGCAUUCCAAACUGGAUGUCUAGAGUGCAGGAGAGGAAAGUGGAAUUCCUAGUGUAGCGGUGAAAUGCGUAGAUAUUAGGAAGAACACCAGUGGCGAAGGCGACUUUCUGGACUGUAACUGACACUGAGGCUCGAAAGCGUGGGGAGCGAACAGG